CGGACCACAUCUCACCGAACGACGUUGGAACUUGGAACUUAAAAACCUCCAAAACCCCUACGCAAGAACGUCAACGUCGCCGUCUUCGGAACCUCCCACAACCAAUCUCCAAUGGCCUCAGCCGCUGCCAGGUCCGUUUUCCGCUCAUGCUCCGUAUCCGCUCGCCGCGCUGCCGCUCGGCUCGGUCCCGAAGCCAAAGCCGCCGGCUCUCCCUUUCGCAUCGGAACCAAAAAGCCCGUCUCCACUCCAACUCUCAGGUGCCCUGUUGAAAUGAGCUUCUGUGUGGAGUCGAUGCUGCCAUACCACACUGCAACUGCAUCGGCAUUGAUGACUUCGAUGCUAUCAAUCUCUCAAUGCAGUUAUGGUCGGCUCCCUGAAGCUGACAAUGGUGAUUCAUGAUGAAUAUCCCAUGGGUUCAGGAGAAGUUUUAUUCAAAUUUCUUGCUUUCUGACGUAGCGGAAGACUAAGGGCUGUAAUCUCCUCUAAUUGUUGGCAAUCCUGCCUGGAGAAGGACUAUGAUGACCUUUCCUUGCUUUCUCCUAUUGUUUUGUUGCUAUUUUGUGGUGGACAUUGGCUAUAUUAAUCAUGGCUACUAGAUUAGUUAUUGAACACUUAUUUGAAGUAGUUUUGUCUGAUAAUUAUAUCCUUAAUGAUCUUUUAUACUGAUCGCAAGUUUUAGUUACCAUUGAAUUUGAUGGCAGCAUGGUACAUUGUCCUUAACUAUCAGAUGUAAUCUGCUCAAAUCUUGGUGAUGUUUUUAACAGUUCUUUUUCUUGUAGAAUUGCCUGUAUUUACUAUUAA